UGGGGAAUAUUGGACAAUGGGCGCAAGCCUGAUCCAGCAACGCCGCGUGGAGGAUGAAGGUCUUCGGAUCGUAAACUCCUGUCAGACGGGACGAAGGUACGUCGGCAAAUAGUCGACGUGCUUGACGGUACCGUCAGAGGAAGCCCCGGCUAACUCCGUGCCAGCAGCCGCGGUAAUACGGAGGGGGCGAGCGUUAUUCGGAAUUAUUGGGCGUAAAGGGCGCGUAGGCGGCUUGGUAAGUCAAAGGUGAAAUCCCUCGGCUCAACCGAGGAAUUGCCUUUGAAACUGCCUGGCUUGAGGCCGGGAGGGGGUAGCGGAAUUCCCAGUGUAGCGGUGAAAUGCGUAGAUACUGGGAGGAACACCGGUGGCGAAGGCGGCUACCUGGACCGGUUCUGACGCUGAUGCGCGAAAGCGUGGGGAGCAAACAGG
rnacentral:rRNA from 1 species